CCUACGGGGGGCAGCAGUGGGGAAUAUUGCACAAUGGGGGGAACCCUGAUGCAGCGACGCCGCGUGGGUGAAGGAGUACUUCGGUACGUAAAGCCCUAUCAGCAGGAAAGAAAAUGACGGUACCUGACUAAGAAGCCCUGGCUAACUACGUGCCAGCAGCCGCGGUCAUACGUAGGGGGCAAGCGUUAUCCGGAUUUACUGGGUGUAAAGGGAGCGUAGACGGUCCUGCAAGCCAGAUGUGAAAGCCCGGGGCUCAACCCCGGGACUGCAUUUGGAACUGUAAGGCUAGAGUGUCGGAGAGGCAG
rnacentral:rRNA from 1 species